ACAACAUGUGAAAGCAUGCGACUCUUCGGAGGCGUUACACAGGUGCUGCAUGGCCGUCGUCAGCUCGUGUCGUGAGAUGUUUGGUUAAGUCCAGCAACGAGCGCAACCCCUGUUGCCAGUUACCAGCACGUGAAGGUGGGGACUCUGGCGAGACUGCCCAGAUCAACUGGGAGGAAGGUGGGGACGACGUCAGGUCAGUAUGGCCCUUAUGCCCAGGGCUGCACACGUACUACAAUGCCCAGUACAGAGGGGGCCGAAGCCGCGAGGCGGAGGAAAUCCUAAAACUGGGCCCAGUUCGGACUGUAGGCUGCAACCCGCCUACACGAAGCCGGAAUCGCUAGUAAUGGCGCAUCAGCUACGGCGCCGUGAAUACGUUCCCGGGUCUUGUACACACCGCCCGUCACAUCAUGGGAGCCGGUCGCACCCGAAGUAUCUGAAGCCAACCGCAAGGAGGCAGGGUCCUAAGGUGAGACUGGUAACUGGGAUGAAGUCGUAACAAGGUAGCCGUAGGGGAACCUGCGGUUGGAUCA
rnacentral:rRNA from 1 species